AGUCGAACGGCAGCACAGAGGAGCUUGCUCCUUGGGUGGCGAGUGGCGGACGGGUGAGGAAUACAUCGGAAUCUACUCUGUCGUGGGGGAUAACGUAGGGAAACUUACGCUAAUACCGCAUACGACCUACGGGUGAAAGCAGGGGAUCUUCGGACCUUGCGCGAUUGAAUGAGCCGAUGUCGGAUUAUCUAGUUGGCGGGGUAAAGGCCCACCAAGGCGACGAUCCGUAGCUGGUCUGAGAGGAUGAUCAGCCACACUGGAACUGAGACACGGUCCAGACUCCUACGGGAGGCAGCAGUGGGGAAUAUUGGACAAUGGGCGCAAGCCUGAUCCAGCCAUACCGCGUGGGUGAAGAAGGCCUUCGGGUUGUAAAGCCCUUUUGUUGGGAAAGAAAUCCAGCCGGCUAAUACCUGGUUGGGAUGACGGUACCCAAAGAAUAAGCACCGGCUAACUUC
rnacentral:rRNA from 1 species